AUGAUGUUACUCUUCUGCUGCAGUCCUGAAUAAUGAGGGAGUGAUUGCGUAAUGGUAGGCCCAACACUCUAAUGAUGCUUCAGUCCUGCCAGUGCCAGAGCCACAGAGGGCAUUUUGACAUAUCUUCAGCCAAAUCUGUCCUGCCCACUAAAAGAAUUGUGACAUAACGCUGACUGCAAAAACUGGGUAAUGCAACUCUCCUCUUUAUUCUGGAGUCUGCCAAAACAAGGGAUUAUCACAUAUUGCUGAGUCCAGCACCUAGGUGAUGUAAAAUUUUGUCAUAUACCCAGCUUCAGAUACCAUGCAAUAAUACAACUAUCAUACCUGGACCCAAAAAGGAGAGAUAUUUUGAUUCUCAUUGCCAUUCUUAUGGCCACAAGCAAAGUAAUGGUUCUCAUAGUGGUAUAAAGUUCACACAGUAUUAUGACACUCCAGCGUAUCAUAGAAAAUGUGAGUAGUACAAUGAGUGUUAUAACAGGGAACAGCAAACCAAUGCUAUUGAGAUUAUUGGAUUCACACCCAGCUGAUGUGACUAUCAUUCUCUCACAAGAACAGAACCUGCAAAUAAAGUACUAAAUCUC